rnacentral:rRNA from 1 species
UACGUAGGCAGCAAGCGUUGUUCGGGGUUACUGGGCGUAAAGGGUGCGUAGGUGGCUCUAUAAGUAUGGUGUGAAAUCUCCCGGCUCAACUGGGAGGGUGCGCCGUAGACUGUGGGGCUAGAGUGUGGGAGAGGAAAGUGGAAUUCCUGGUGUAGCGGUGAAAUGCGUAGAUAUCUGGAGGAACACCGGUGGCGAAGGCGGCAUCCUGGACCACGACUGACGCUGAGUGAGCGAAAGCCAGGGGAGCAAACGGG